rnacentral:rRNA from 1 species
UACAGAGGUCUCAAGCGUUGUUCGGAUUCAUUGGGCGUAAAGGGUGCGUAGGUGGCGAGGUAAGUUGGAUGUGAAAUCCCGGGGCUUAACCCCGGAACUGCAUUCAAUACUGCCUUGCUAGAGUACUGGAGAGGAGAUUGGAAUUUACGGUGUAGCAGUGAAAUGCGUAGAUAUCGUAAGGAAGACCAGUGGCGAAGGCGGAUCUCUGGACAGUUACUGACACUGAGGCACGAAGGCCAGGGGAGCAAACGGG